rnacentral:tRNA from 1 species
GACCAGGUGGUGAAAUGGCAGACACGCGACGCUCAGAACGUCGUGCCUUAAAGGCGUGGGAGUUCGACUCUCCCCUUGGUCA